ensembl:lncRNA
CUAGUGUUUGCACCUGGAGAAAGGUGUGCUCUGAGUUUAGGUUGUGAUGACUUGAGUUAAUUAUAUUGAGAGCAUGUGUUUGCUGAAUGAAUAUAUAGUGCAAUGAAUGAUUUAUUUGGCCACUUUUGUGUAAGGUUUUGCAGAAAGAGUUUUGAAUAUUGAAACGUGUGGAAACAGUACUCUCUUAGUGUUGCUGACGAGACUCUGAUCAUGUGAAGAGUUUGGAAAUCAAAUGCCCAAUUGUGGUGCCACCAGACAGCAGAAAACAAGUUGGUACCUCCAGCAGGCAGAGAGGCAAGAACCAUUCUUCCACCAGUUCAGGGACAAGCUACACUAUUUAUAAUACUGUGUAAUGCUCAAUGUAAUUGCAGUGCUGGUCUUUUUUAAACUUAAUGUAUUUGUAUUGUUUAAAAAAUGUACAAAUAAAA